GACCAAGUAAACCUAACCAUCCCUGACAGGUGUUUGUCCAUCCUGUUCUUGAAAACCGUCAGUGAUGGGGAUUCCACAACCUCCCUUGGAAACCUAUUCCAGGACUUAACUAUCCUAAUAGUUAGAAAGUUUUUUAAUAUUUGA